rnacentral:rRNA from 1 species
AAGUAGGGGAUCGCAAGACCUUGCGCUUUUAGAGCGGCCGAUGUCUGAUUAGCUAGUUGGUGAGGUAAAGGCUUACCAAGGCUUCGAUCAGUAGCUGGUCUGAGAGGACGACCAGCCACACUGGGACUGAGACACGGCCCAGACUCCUACGGGAGGCAGCAGUGGGGAAUUUUGGACAAUGGGGGAAACCCUGAUCCAGCCAUGCCGCGUGAGUGAAGAAGGCCUUCGGGUUGUAAAGCUCUUUCAGCCGGAACGAAACGGUCACGGUUAAUACCUGUGAUCACU